GAUGCCGUUAUCACGAAAUCAUCUAAAGUUUGUGACCUUCAUUUUGACGACGACGCCAUUGUUAGAAGUCGUCUGUCGAUUGUGGACGGGAAACCAACAUCAGUCGUCGUUCGUCCCGUUCUAAAACCUGGAGCUGUUCCCACAAAGUUUCAGAGCAUUGUUUAUUUGUGAGUUUAAAAUCUCGUUCGGAUGUUCCCUGAAAAUCAUUAGCAGUUUAUGGUAAACGUAUUGUUUCUUUCCGCCAUGACAUCGAAGUUUUUUCUCUUUCUGUUUUCUGACGCAUUCGUGCACGGUCAUGUUGCAUGUGCUGUCCGCAGGUAGCGUUCAUACUGAACGAGUACUGAAUAACCUCGUUAGCCUUGUCUUUAGCCAAGACAAUACAUCCUUGUAACCAAGUUUCCGAUAUUGUAACUUGUUAACUGUUAGUCGUGAAUGCCUUGCAGGAAUCUAGUACGAAACUUUUACUCAAUACACCCAAGAAAAGCGGAUGUAGCAGAUAUUACAGUAUAUCUUGACAUUUCUUUGUUGUGUUAAAAAAUAGCAGACAGCCUGCUAUUGCUUUUGAUUAGCAAUUACCAGUGGAUUAAUAAUCGGUACUUUGUUGCACCAGAUGUUUAGACCUGCAGGUUGCCAAACGAUAGUUAAUGUUAACAUAAUAAAGACGUGGCACAUCACUUUUCGGGAAUGCCAGACGAACAGGCAAACGUCAGACGAGGAUUUGAGUCUGCUGGGAAACCGAACCCCAUCUCACCAUUGCCAGUGAUCACCCGUCGUUAGGUCGAAGAAACCUCCUGUCCAAAGCAGCCUACGUUCUUGAUCCGUUUUUUGGAAUGGUGUACUCUUAUUGUUCCGUACAGCAUUAUCGACGAAAAUGUCUUCACAUCUCGACCCGAUCGUGAGCCAACUUGCAUCGUUUUGGCAAACCUCCUGCAUUGUCGAAUACGGCAACUUUUGGCACGAAGGUGAAUCUUAUUGUCGUUACGACAAUCAGAGCCACGAUCAGUGGCACAAGAAAAGUAAAGCAAAUGGCUGUGAUUGAGGUAAUUGAUCUACUUUUGUUUUUGGUGUCCUGUUUCUGGAGUUUAGUUUGUUUUCUGUUUUUUUUUAUAGGUACGUGAAUCUGUUCGCCUGUGUGAGACCUGAGUGGUGGUGGAACGUAACUUUGUGCUUCAUCGUCUAGGGCAAUGAUUUCAUCACGUGGUGUUCGGGAAUAUAAGAGAAAUUGGGCCACGAUGGAAACGACACAGAAGAAAGAGUGCAAACCAACGAGGAGAGUUAUGACAGCCGAAUCUCCGACUAGUACUAGUUCGUUUUCAACCAUCAGGACGUUUUUGUAAAACAAAAGGACGCUCUGGAUAACUAGCAUGAGCAAAACGAAUAGGAUUGCACAGCGAUGGACAUUGGCACCGGAGUAAGUUGGCUGAUAUGUUUGAACCAUUGUAUAGCGAUCAAUGAUAUAUCCAAUUGCCAGACACAGGACGCUUAUAGCUAUGAUGGGGGGAAACGUGAAAUAUCCCACGCACGUUAUGACAAACUGCGCCACCAGUUGGGAAUAGCGUUCUCCGAUGUUGAACCUGUCACGCAGAAAUGGACUGUCUGCCUUGGGAGAUUUGGUUAAACGCAGCCACAGUCUGUUUACCCAUUGCGUUACUCGAGAGCCCAAGUCUGGCCGGAAAACGCACUGCAGCCGAAUCCAGUGAUUCAAAACGUUUGGAUCUGUUUGAGUCCAGAUGAUGGAAUUCCAGAUGUCCUUGAAGUUGAGCAUGGGUAACACGAUUUCAGACACCACGAUAAUGAUGAAUGAAGAGAAAAAGAGUCCUAAGUGAGCACUGGAUUUUCUCAUGUGAUCCACUUGGAAGGCUGGACAGAGGCGAACAAUUACCAAGAAAACUAUUGUCAAAAUCGAUUUCGAGUAACGUAGAACAGCGUAGAAGAUGUUUUGUUUGUCGACUAGGAGUUUCAGCGAUUCGACGAAUAUCGUGGAUCCUGCUAGGGAUUGGACCAUACGAUAUCACGAGAUGGUGGAGCCCAUUCAACUCGCCAACCUCUUAGUGUCCGGUGAUUGAUUAAGUAUUUGCUUGCUUUCACUGCAUGCUCUCGUGUUCUGAAUGUGACGAAAGCUGCAGUGGCUGGAUGGCUUGUUGAUGGCUUCUCCAUUAGCUUGUGGAUAAUACUUAUUCCAGUCACAAUAUCAGCAUUGUUGUCUCGGAAGUAUGACCUCAAAUAUUCCUCGGUGCAUUUUUCGUAAUUGAUCCGUGAGAUGAGCAGUGUCCGUAUUGUUUCACCGUUGCCCAUAAUGGUUUGGUUUCGGUACAGAUGAUAGGAAAAGGUUGAAAAUAUUCGCAUUAGUAAAACCGUGAUUACCAUUAAGAAAGAUGGUAUCAAAAUGGCUAUCAAGCAGAGUUGAAAACUGAGUAAAGCCAGUCCGUCUGUUCCUUGCUGUUCCGUCAAAUGUCUAGCGAUGUCACCCCAGAUUCUACGGGCCGUACUUCUCAUCGAGGCCAGUGUUCCUUCUCCUACGUGCUCCAUUUCGUCGUCUUCUUGGCUAUGGGCGGAUUCAGUGUCAUUGUGACAGUAGGAAAGCGGAUUAUCGUAGGUUCGAAAUAAAAAUUCUCCCACUCCAGAGAUUCCUAGGACGAUUAACAGUGUUAAUAUAUAAAACAAGAUUGUCUUAUUCAAUAAAAACACUGUGAUGUUGUUGAAAACUCCCUGAUCUGAUGGGCAGUUUCGUGUUAGCAUUAACUCGUUUGACGGGUCAUAUGCCUCAGUUUCAAGGAGUUCCAGAAUAACCUCCAUGAUCCCAUCAAUACUCACUCUUGGAUUCAUUUCGUGAAUUUUUCGCACAUCGCUACAAGUGAAAUGCGUUCCAUCACGUGUUGACAAAUAGAUAAUGUCAAGUAA